GAUGAACGCUAGCGGCAGGCUUAAUACAUGCAAGUCGUGGGGCAGCAUGAGUAGCAAUACUUGAUGGCGACCGGCAAACGGGUGAGGAACACGUACACAACCUUCCUUCAAGCGGGGAAUAGCCCAGAGAAAUUUGGAUUAAUACCCCAUAAUAUAUUUGAUAAGGCAUCUUAUUAAUAUUAAAGCUUCGGCACCUUGAUGAUGGGUGUGCGGCUGAUUAGAUAGUUGGCGGGUAACGGCCCACCAAGUCUACGAUCAGUAGCUGAUGUGAGAGCAUGAUCAGCCACACGGGCACUGAGACACGGGCCCGACUCCUACGGGAGGCAGCAGUAAGGAAUAUUGGACAAUGGACGAAAGUCUGAUCCAGCCAUGCCGCGUGAAGGAUUAAGGUCCUCUGGAUUGUAAACUUCUUUAUAUGGGACGAAAAAAGGGCAUUCUUGUUCACUUGACGGUACCAUAUGAAUAAGCACGGCUAACUCCGUGCCAGCAG
rnacentral:rRNA from 1 species